rnacentral:tRNA from 1 species
CAAAACGUAGCUUAACUAAAGCAUCCCGCUUACACCGAGAAUUUAUCUGUUAAACCCAGUCGCUUUGA